AAAUUGAAGAGUUUGAUCAUGGCUCAGAUUGAACGCUGGCGGCAGGCCUAACACAUGCAAGUCGAACGGUAGCAUAGAGAGCUUGCUCUCGG
rnacentral:rRNA from 2 species